rnacentral:rRNA from 1 species
GAUGAACGCUAGCGGCAGGCCUAACACAUGCAAGUCGAACGGUAAGGCCCAGCUUGCUGGGUACACGAGUGGCGCACGGGUGAGUAACGCGUAUGCAACCUGCCUCGAACAGGGGGAUAGCCCCGAGAAAUUGGGAUUAAUACCCCAUAACGCAUCGGAGCCGCAUGGCUCUGUUGCUAAAGCCCCGGCGGUUCGAGAUGGGCAUGCGUGGCAUUAGCUAGUUGGUGGGGUAACGGCCCACCAAGGCGUCGAUGCCUAGGGGUUCUGAGAGGACAGCCCCCCACACUGGUACUGAGACACGGACCAGACUCCUACGGGAGGCAGCAGUGAGGAAUAUUGGUCAAUGGGUGAGAGCCUGAACCAGCCAUGCCGCGUGCAGGAUUGACGGCCCUAU